AAGUCGUAACAAGGUCAUCGUAGGUGAACCUGCGGUGGGAUCAUAAAGAAAUUAAUGAUAUACCAUGAGGAGUGAGUAUAAGUAAGUGGUUUUUUUUUUUAAAGAAAAAAUUGCUGCUGUGCUGCUUUUCUGCUUGUGUGAACAUUUUAAAAUGUGACUUUUCGAGGCAAUCAAUCAAUCAAGGAAGGAUGAGAAUGUGAGGGAGAGGGGGGGGAAACCACACAAACCCUUGCGUUUUUUUUUUUCUUUUUGCGCCUUGUAAUAAACCAUAAACCAUACAAAUUCAAUUUGUCGAUCUAAUCAAAAAACAUAAUAAAAACAACUAUUAGUGGUGGAUCACUAGGCUCUU
rnacentral:misc_RNA from 1 species